rnacentral:rRNA from 1 species
GACGAACGCUGGCGGCGUGCCUAAUACAUGCAAGUAGAACGCACAGGAUGCACCGUAGUUUACUACACCGUAUUCUGUGAGUUGCGAACGGGUGAGUAACGCGUAGGUAACCUGCCUGGUAGCGGGGGAUAACUAUUGGAAACGAUAGCUAAUACCGCAUAAGAACAUUUACUGCAUGGUAGAUGUUUAAAAGGUGCAAAUGCAUCACUACCAGAUGGACCUGCGUUGUAUUAGCUAGUAGGUGAGGUAACGGCUCACCUAGGCGACGAUACAUAGCCGACCUGAGAGGGUGAUCGGCCACACUGGGACUGAGACACGGCCCAGACCUCCUACGGGAGGCAGCAGUAGGGAAUCUUCGGCAAUGGGGGGAACCCUGACCGAGCAACGCCGCGUGAGUGAAGAAGGUUUUCGGAUCGUAAAGCUCUGUUGUUAAGGAAGAACGAGUGUGAGAAUGGAAAGUUCAUACUGUGACGGUACUUACCAGAAAG